rnacentral:rRNA from 1 species
CCUACGGGAGGCAGCAGUGGGGAAUCUUGCGCAAUGGGCGAAAGCCUGACGCAGCCAUGCCGCGUGAAUGAUGAAGGUCUUAGGAUUGUAAAAUUCUUUCAGUAGGGACGAUAAUGACGGUACCUACAGAAGAAGCCCCGGCUAACUUCGUGCCAGCAGCCGCGGUAAUACGAAGGGGGCUAGCGUUGCUCGGAAUUACUGGGCGUAAAGGGAGCGUAGGCGGGUUAUCAAGUUGGAGGUGAAAGCCCAGGGCUCAACCUUGGAAUUGCCUUCAAAACUGAUAGCCUAGAGUAUGAUAGAGGUAUGUGGAACUCCGAGUGUAGAGGUGAAAUUCGUAGAUAUUCGGAAGAACACCAGUGGCGAAGGCGACAUACUGGGUCAUGACUGACGCUGAGGCUCGAAAGCGUGGGGAGCAAACAGGAUUAGAUACCCUGGUAGUCCACGCUGUAAACGAUGAUUGNUAGUUGUCGGACGGCGAUGCCGUUCGGUGGUACGCGAGCGUACGACAUAAGUACGACUACCGCCGUCGGGGUAGGUACGGUCGGCGAAGUAAGUUAAACGUUAACGUUAAAGGAAGUUAGUUACGGCGUGAGACGNGCGACGGACGACGACGAGGGAGGAGG